rnacentral:rRNA from 1 species
AUUGAACGCUGGCGGCAGGCCUAACACAUGCAAGUCGAGCGGAUGAAGGGAGCUUGCUCCUGGAUUCAGCGGCGGACGGGUGAGUAAUGCCUAGGAAUCUGCCUGGUAGUGGGGGAUAACGUCCGGAAACGGGCGCUAAUACCGCUUACGUCCUGAGGGAGAAAGUGGGGGAUCUUCGGACCUCACGCUAUCAGAUGAGCCUAGGUCGGAUUAGCUAGUUGGUGGGGUAAAGGCCUGCCAAGGCGACGAUCCGUAACUGGUCUGAGAGGAUGAUCAGUCACACUGGAACUGAGACACGGUCCAGACUCCUACGGGAGGCAGCAGUGGGGAACAUUGGACAAUGGGCGAAAGCCUGAUCCAGCCAUGCCGCGUGUGUGAAGAAGGUCUUCGGAUUGUAAAGCACUUUAAGUUGGGAGGAAGGGCAGUAAGUUAAUACCUUGCUGUUUUGACGUUACCAACAGAAUAAGCACCGGCUAACUUCGUG